rnacentral:rRNA from 1 species
ACUCAAAUGAAUUGACGGGGACUCGCACAAGCGGUGGAGCAUGUGGUUUAAUUCGAUACAACGCGCAGAACCUUACCAAGGCUUGACAUGAAGGGCAAUGUUGAAGAAACUCAACAGAGGUUAUCCCAACACAGGUGGUGCAUGGUCGUCGUCAGUUCGUGCUGUGAAGCGUAUGCUUAAGUGCUAGAACGAACGCAACCCUCAUAUUCAGUUGCUACCAUUUAGUUGAGAACUUUGGAUAGACUGCCAGGGUAACCUGGAGGAAGGAGAGGAUGACGUCUGAUCAUCAUGCCCCUUAUGCCUUGGGCUACACACGUGCUACAAUGGUUAGGACAAAGAGUUGCUAACCUGCAAAGGAAAGCCAAUCUCAAAAAACUAACCUUAGUUCGGAUUGAGGUCUGCAACUCGACCUCAUGAAGCAGGAAUCGCUAGUAAUCGUGAAUCAGCAAUGUCACGGUGAAUACGUUCUCGAGUCUUGUACACACCGCCCGU